rnacentral:tRNA from 2 species
CGGGGUAUGGCGCAGCCUGGUAGCGCAUCUGCUUUGGGAGCAGAGGGUCGCAGGUUCGAAUCCUGCUGCCCCGACCA